GAAUCUGAGAAGCCGCUGCUUUGUCCUCCGAAGGCAGAGGUCACAGGUUCGAAUCCUGUCGGGUGCGCCA
rnacentral:tRNA from 1 species